rnacentral:rRNA from 1 species
UGGCGCAUGCCACGCUUUUGAAAGAUGGUUUCGGCUAUCGCUUACAGAUGGGCCCGCGGUGCAUUAGCUAGUUGGUAGGGUAAUGGCCUACCAAGGCAACGAUGCAUAGCCGACCUGAGAGGGUGAUCGGCCACACUGGGACUGAGACACGGCCCAGACUCCUACGGGAGGCAGCAGUAGGGAAUCUUCCGCAAUGGACGAAAGUCUGACGGAGCAACGCCGCGUGUAUGAAGAAGGUUUUCGGAUCGUAAAGUACUGUUGUUAGAGAAGAACAAGGAUAAGAGUAACUGCUUGUCCCUUGACGGUAUCUAACCAGAAAGCCACGGCUAACUACGUGCCAGCAGCCGCGGUAAUACGUAGGUGGCAAGCGUUGUCCGGAUUUAUUGGGCGUAAAG